CGCCAAUUCCCUUGAGUUUAGAGUUUGAUCAUGGCUCAGGAUGAACGCCGGCGGUGUGCCUAAUACAUGCAAGUCGAACGCGUUGGCCCAAUUGAUUGAUGGUGCUUGCACCUGAUUGAUUUUGGUCGCCAACGAGUGGCGGACGGGUGAGUAACACGUAGGUAACCUGCCCAGAAGCGGGGGACAACAUUUGGAAACAGAUGCUAAUACCGCAUAACAACGUUGUUCGCAUGAACAACGCUUAAAAGAUGGCUUCUCGCUAUCACUUCUGGAUGGACCUGCGGUGCAUUAGCUUGUUGGUGGGGUAAUGGCCUACCAAGGCGAUGAUGCAUAGCCGAGUUGAGAGACUGAUCGGCCACAAUGGGACUGAGACACGGCCCAUACUCCUACGGGAGGCAGCAGUAGGGAAUCUUCCACAAUGGGCGCAAGCCUGAUGGAGCAACACCGCGUGAGUGAAGAAGGGUUUCGGCUCGUAAAGCUCUGUUGUUAAAGAAGAACACGUAUGAGAGYAACUGUUCAUACGUUGACGGUAUUUAACCAGAAAGUCACGGCUAACUACGUGCCAGCAGCCGCGGUAAUACGUAGGUGGCAAGCGUUAUCCGGAUUUAUUGGGCGUAAAGAGAGUGCAGGCGGUUUUCUAAGUCUGAUGUGAAAGCCUUCGGCUUAACCGGAGAAGUGCAUCGGAAACUGGAUAACUUGAGUGCAGAAGAGGGUAGUGGAACUCCAUGUGUAGCGGUGGAAUGCGUAGAUAUAUGGAAGAACACCAGUGGCGAAGGCGGCUACCUGGUCUGCAACUGACGCUGAGACUCGAAAGCAUGGGUAGCGAACAGGAUUAGAUACCCUGGUAGUCCAUGCCGUAAACGAUGAGUGCUAGGUGUUGGAGGGUUUCCGCCCUUCAGUGCCGGAGCUWACGCAUUAMGCWSUUCCCGCUG
rnacentral:rRNA from 1 species